GGCAGGUAGUCUAGUGGUUAGAGUGUAGAGGUGGCAGGUAGCCUAGUGGUUAGAGUGUAGAGGAGGCAGGUAGUCUAGUGGUUAGAGUGUAGAGGAGGCAGGUAGUCUAGUGGUUAGAGUGUAGAGGAGGCAGGUAGCCUAGUGGUUAGAGUGUAGGGGCGGUAGGUAGCCUAGUGGUUAGAGUGUAGGGGAGGCAGGUAGCCUAGUGGUUAGAGUGCAGAGGAGGCAGGUAGCCUAGUGGUUAGAGUGUAGAGGAGGCAGGUAGCCUAGUGGUUAGAGUGUAGAGGAGGCAGGUAGCCUAGUGGUUAGAGUGUAGAGGAGGCAGGUAGCCUAGUGGUUAGAGUGUAGAGGUGGCAGGUAGCCUAGUGGUUAGAGUGUAGAGGAGGCAGGUAGCCUAGUGGUUAGAGUGUAGAGGAGGCUGGUAGCCUAGUGGUUAGAGUGUGGAGGAGGCAGGUAGCCUAGUGGUUAGAGUGUGGAGGAGGCAGGUAGCCUCGUGGUUAGAGUGUAGAGGUGGCAGGUAGCCUAGUGGUUAGAGUGUAGACGUGGCAGGUAGCCUAGUGGUUAGAGUGUGGAGGAGGCAGGUAGCCUCGUGGUUAGAGUGUAGAGGGGGCAGGUAGCCUAGUGGUUAGAGUGUAGACGUGGCAGGUAGCCUAGUGGUUAGAGUGUGGAGGAGGCAGG
ensembl:lncRNA